GCCGCAUUUCUUCCGGCGGCCAUUUUAGGUUGGGAUCACCGAGGCGGCGCCAUUAAAGUGCGAGGAAGGAGGGAAACCAGCCCCGCCGAGCUCCCGCGCGCCUUGGGCUCAGCGCGGCCGGACCCCUCGCCCCGGGCGCCUCUCGUCCCGUCCCGUCCCUUCCCCCGCGUCCACAAGGGCGGCCAUGUCGGAGCAGCAGUUCGCCGGCGACGCGGAAGCGGCGGAGGCUUCGGAGCAGGCGGAGCAGCUGGAGGGAGACGCGGGCACUGGCGAAGAAGGCGGCGGGGGAGGCGGCAACGAGGCCGAAGGGGGAGGCGGAGGCGGUGGCGCAGAGUCGGAGGGAGCCAAGAUCGACGCCAGCAAAAACGAGGAGGACGAAGGACCAACACAGCUACCCACCCAAAACUCUGUUCCACAGGAGCAAGUCACUAAUGCUUCCAUCUCCUGGAAAAUGUUCAUUGGAGGCCUUAGCUGGGAUACUACGAAGAAAGAUCUGAAGGACUACUUCACCAAAUUUGGUGAAGUUGUGGACUGUACCCUGAAGCUGGAUCCUAUUACGGGGCGGUCAAGGGGUUUUGGCUUUGUGCUGUUCAAGGAAUCUGAGAGCGUGGACAAGGUUAUGGAUCAGAAGGAGCACAAAUUGAACGGCAAAGUGAUUGAUCCCAAAAGGGCUAAAGCGAUGAAAACAAAAGAGCCAGUUAAAAAGAUUUUUGUUGGGGGCUUAUCUCCAGAUACACCUGAAGAAAAAAUAAGGGAAUACUUUGGCGGUUUUGGUGAGGUGGAAUCAAUAGAGCUUCCCAUGGACAACAAAACCAAUAAACGGCGUGGAUUUUGCUUCAUUACUUUCAAAGAAGAGGAACCAGUGAAGAAGAUUAUGGAGAAAAAAUACCACAACGUUGGUCUUAGCAAAUGUGAAAUAAAAGUAGCCAUGUCAAAAGAACAGUAUCAACAGCAACAGCAGUGGGGAACUCGAGGGGGAUUUACUGGAAGAGCUCGUGGCAGAGGUGGAGGCCCCAGUCAAAGCUGGAACCAGGGAUACAAUAACUAUUGGAAUCAGGGCUAUGGCAACUACGGAUACAACAGUCAAGGGUAUGGUGGCUACGGAGGCUAUGACUACACCGGCUACAACAACUAUUACGGAUAUGGGGAUUAUAGCAAUCAGCAGAGUGGUUAUGGGAAGGUAUCUCGGCGAGGUGGUCAUCAAAAUAGCUACAAACCGUACUAAAUUAUUCCAUUUUGCAGCCUAUCCCAGACAGCGGGAACUUCCUUGCAGGCCCUGUGUCGCGCUGACUUCCCGAUUCUCACAGGCCCGCUCAAUGCGGACAGGGUACGAGAUGCUCACGCUCUCGAAUGCUGCCGUUUGGUGGACAAGCAGUAUUCUCAUUUGAAGAUUGAUUUUUGAGGUGGCUCAGGCUGCCUGCUAAUAGCAGUUCAUACUAAAAAAUUUUGUAUCAAGUCCCCGAAUUGGAAGUAAGAUGUUGGUCCCUCUGAAGUUUGCGUUACAACAGAAUUGCUUUCACUGUCUUUAUUUUUUUUAAUUGCUAUGCUUAAGAAUCGAUUUACGCCCCUUGCCCAUUUUGUUCCCCAGUAUUGUAGAGCACGUCUUGUGUUUAAAAGCCCAGUGUGACAGUGUCAUGAUGUAGUAGUGUCUUACUGGUUUUUUAAUAAAUCUUUUUGUAUAAA